rnacentral:rRNA from 1 species
AAAUCUGGUACUUUCAGUGCCCGAGUUGUAAUUUGUAGAAUUUGUCUUUGAUUAGGUCCUUGUCUAUGUUCCUUGGAACAGGACGUCAUAGAGGGUGAGAAUCCCGUUUGGCGAGGAUACCUUUUCUCUGUAAGACUUUUUCGAAGAGUCGAGUUGUUUGGGAAUGCAGCUCAAAGUGGGUGGUAAAUUCCAUCUAAAGCUAAAUAUUGGCGAGAGACCGAUAGCGAACAAGUACAGUGAUGGAAAGAUGAAAAGAACUUUGAAAAGAGAGUGAAAAAGUACGUGAAAUUGUUGAAAGGGAAGGGCAUUUGAUCAGACAUGGUGUUUUUUGCAUGCACUCGCCUCUCGUGGGCUUGGGCCUCUCAAAAAUUUCACUGGGCCAACAUCAAUUCUGGCAGUAGGAUAAAUCAUUAAGAAUGUAGCUACCUCGGUAGUGUUAUAGCUUAUUGGAAUACUGCUAGCUGGGAUUGAGGAC